rnacentral:rRNA from 1 species
UACGAAGGGGGCGAGCGUUGUUCGGAAUUACUGGGCGUAAAGGGCGCGUAGGCGGCGACCCAAGUCAGAUGUGAAAGUCCUGGGCUUAACCUGGGGACUGCAUUUGAUACUGGGUUGCUUGAAUUCGGGAGAGGAUAGCGGAAUUCCCAGUGUAGAGGUGAAAUUCGUAGAUAUUGGGAAGAACACCAGUGGCGAAGGCGGCUAUCUGGACGGUUUCUGACGCUAAGACGCGAAAGCGUGGGGAGCAAACAGG